UACAGAGGGUGCAAGCGUUGCUCGGAAUCAUUGGGCGUAAAGCGCACGUAGGCGGUUCGUUAAGUCGGAUGUGAAAGCCCUCGGCUCAACUGAGGAAGUGCACCCGAAACUGGCGAGCUUGAGUACGAAAGAGGAUCGCGGAAUUCCCGGUGUAGAGGUGAAAUUCGUAGAUAUCGGGAGGAACACCGGUGGCGAAGGCGGCGAUCUGGGUCGAUACUGACGCUGAGGUGCGAAAGCGUGGGGAGCAAACAGG
rnacentral:rRNA from 1 species